rnacentral:ncRNA from 1 species
UCGCCCACAAUGCCCUCAACGGUUUCAACACGGAUGUGGCGGGGUGCGUGGUGUGAGCGGAUACGAUGCACUUGCCGGUCGGCUUAGGCCGAAGCCCUGUGAAGGGGCAUCCCUGCUGGGGCCGUAGUCGACGCAGGGUCGUCGUCUCAGUUGGUUCCUACUUUGGUCUCCUCGCGCUAACCCCGUAGCGUGUGGUUUUUAGCGGGCUCCAGGCCCGCUUUUUUUU